AGAUUGAACGCUGGCGGCAUGCCUUACACAUGCAAGUCGAACGGCAGCACGGGGGCAACCCUGGUGGCGAGUGACGAACGGGUGAGUAACAUAUCGGAACGUGCCCUGGAGUGGGGGAUAACUAGUCGAAAGACUAGCUAAUACCGCAUACGAUCUACGGAUGAAAGUGGGGGAUCGCAAGACCUCAUGCUCGUGGAGCGGCCGAUAUCUGAUUAGCUAGUUGGUGGGGUAAAGGCCUACCAAGGCAUCGAUCAGUAGCUGGUCUGGAGAGGACGACC
rnacentral:rRNA from 1 species